AUCCCAGCCAACCUUGUUUGUUUGUCUGAUUCAUGGGAGGCACAAAAUGAUGAUGGAAGUUUCACUGAGAGCACUAUUUCGUCCAGUAGAAGGUGCUUGUGAAUUAUUAUAUGUGU